GACGAACGCUGGCGGCGUGCUUAACACAUGCAAGUCGAACGGGAGUAUUGAAGAAGCUUGCUUUAGAGAUACUUUAGUGGCGGACGGGUGAGUAACGCGUGAGGAGCUGUCCAAUGCAGGGGGGACAACAGUUGGAAACGACUGCUAAUACCCCAUAAGCCGAGAGGUAAAAGGAUUUAUCCGGCAGAGGAGGUACUCGCGUCCUAUCAGCUAGUAGGUGAGGUAACGGCUCACCUAGGCGAAGACGGGUAGCCGGCCUGAGAGGGCGAACGGCCACACUGGAACUGAGAUACGGUCCAGACUCCUACGGGAGGCAGCAGUGGGGAAUAUUGGGCAAUGGGGGGAACCCUGACCCAGCGACGCCGCGUGGGUGAAGAAAUCCUUCGGGAUGUAAAGCCCUGUUGUAUGGGAAGAGCGGAAGACGGUACCAUACGAGGAAGCCCCGGCAAACUACGUGCCAGCAGCCGCGG
rnacentral:rRNA from 1 species